AGUACCUAACAGGGAAGCGCCAUCGGGGAAGGAAAGGAAGAAGUCUUUCAUCUCUCAUCGCUAGGCCUAGAAUGAGCCCUCCACCUCUGCACACUCGCCAAGUCCUUCAUGGCAUUCUGAAGGUUAUCCUUGGGCACCCCUCACCUUGCCCUCCUGCCUCACCUCUAUGGGGGCUGGGAGCUGUGUCUCUCGAUGCCUUGGACCAUCUCUGCCACCUGGUUGCACCUUCCGAAUAGCCUCUCGAACCACCCGGCCUUUGAGCUGCUGGAUAAAGCGACAGAUCUGGGGAGGAAGACAGGCUUUCUAUGAGCUCAGAAACAGAGGCCUUGUUGUUUCCAGGCACUGCUACUGCUCCCUACCCUGGACUAGCCCAGUAUUGUGCAUUCCCAAAACUGCUGGGACUUGAGCCAAGGCCUCAGCAUGUGACCAGCUACCUAAUGAAAAUGUAAAAGCUAGGCCUAUUCUUGCUUCUUCCUGGGGCUGUAGUUUGCUCUUAUAAUGAGAACUAGCCUAUUCACUUCCACUCCACCCCAUUUCCUAGACUCUCACUUCGUACUCACUCUGGUUCCACCCAAAUUCACUUCUUUUGUUUGUUUUUGUUAACUUUUUUGAGACAGGGCCUCUCUAAACAGCACCUGCUGUCCUGAAACUAUGUAGACAGGGCUAGCCUUGAACUCAAAGAGGUCCACUAGUGAAAGGAUCCCAGGUGCUGAGAUUAAAGGUGUAUACCACCAUUCCCGACUACCAACUCUACCUUAAUUCAUCCUCUAUUCUCACUUCCACUCACCCCCACUCUGUUAUGCUCAGCCCUCCGAUUUUUCCCGCCCACACUCUACAGCUUCACAACUCUCCACAGGCUCACUCCACCCAGUUGUCACACCCCGUCCCCAGCUUUCCCACUCACAUACCACCUCUUCAUGCUCCACUUCCAGUGUGCUUCACUCACAGAGACCCACAGUCCAGCAGGCAGUCCCGCCCCCAAACCCCCCCACCCCCUGCGCCACAGCUUCCCCAGAGCCUCACUCUAAACUUCGUUGUCACCCCGCCCCUAUACAGUCAAUAUUCCUCCGCAUCUCCAUAACCCCGCCUCGAAUCCCACCCACAUCCCCGCCCUAAAACUCCAUCUUUCACGCAUAUCCGGUGCGCCAAUGACUUCCGCGACCGUCAACAGCCCCGGAGCUCCACCUUAGCUCGGCCAUUCGGCUUCCCGGCCCCGCCCCCAGCACGGGACACCACCUCGGCCUCGCUCCGGCCUCGCAGCUCCUUGGCCAGCUCCUUGGCGUCUGGCUCCGGCUGGCCGCGCCGAGCCUGGAGUAGUCUCAGUAGGUGCCGCAUCUCGCGGGGGCUCCAAGCUGUGGGGCCGGUAGCUUCACCUGUGUACCGUGCGGGGACCUUCCGCCGUCUCUGCGGUGGCUUCAUGCCGGAACUCUAUGGAGCUCUUUUCUGGUGGGCGGGGCUACGGAGGCCGAAGCGGUCAGACAGAGCACUAUGCGUUUGAUUUUAUAGAGGGGGCGUGGCUCGACCAAGACUGAGGAGGGCAGAGGGACCAGAGUUUUAUCUGCGUUUUAUGUCACUCAUGAGCUGCAGCAAAAAACUUUAAGCCCUAAAUUUCCUAACUACGUCAUGAAACCCA